GAUGAACGCUAGCGGCAGGCUUAACACAUGCAAGUCGAGGGGUAUAGUAGCAAUACUAGAGACCGGCGCACGGGUGCGUAACGCGUAUGCAACCUACCUUUUACAGAGGGAUAGCCCCAGAGAAAUUUGGAUUAAUACCUCAUAGUGUUAUUAGAUGGCAUCAUUUGAUAACUAAAGUUCCAACGGUAAAGAUGGGCAUGCGUCCUAUUAGCUAGAUGGUAAGGUAACGGCUUACCAUGGCUACGAUAGGUAGGGGUCCUGAGAGGGAGAUCCCCCCACACUGGUACUGAGACACGGACCAGUACUCCUACGGGAGGCAGCAGUGAGGAAUAUUGGACAAUGGGCGCAAGCCUGAUCCAGCCAUGCCGCGUGCAGGAAGAAGCAUCUAUGGUGUGUAAACUGCUUUUGUACGGGAAGAAACACUCCCUAGUGUAGGAGCUUGACGGUACCGUAAGAAUAAGGAUCGGCUAAACUCCGUGCCAGCAGACCGCGG
rnacentral:rRNA from 1 species